GGCUCGGUAGCGCUCGGUGCGCAUCUGCCUCCCAUUCGUAUUGGUGAGCAGACGAGGCCUGUUCGACUCAGGCCUGAGCCG